CGAAAAUGUAAAUUCAAAGGUGACAGGUAGCACAAACUAUGUACAUGAACAAUUAAAUAAAUUAAAAACGCUCAGGAUUUGUUAGGUACAUUUCAAUAUAAAAACAAACUUAUUUAAAAAAACAAGCAUAAAAAAAACCCAAGUUAAAGUCUAUAUGUUGGCCGCCUUAAACUGGACAAAUAAGAUCUCCGUAAAAUGAUCCAUGGAAGAGUAUCAAUAGCUAAGUUAUAUACUGUAUCAUAAAAUAACAAUAAUGUGAAGUUACAAAACAGUAACAGUUACAAAACCUAUUAAGAUGUUAGACAACCAUGGUUCAGUAUCCUCCCCAUCCCGUUUGUCCACUGAGGGGAGGAUACUGAACCAUGGCUGUCCAGUGGGACAACCUGUUUGUAUGUAUGCUUGAAUGUAUCAGUGCGCUGCCUUGGUAAUGCGCAGCGCUGCUCUGAUACGAAAGAAGGAUGGACGUUCUCCCUCCCCCACCUCAGCAUUCAGGAGGCCAGGCCGGAGAAUAUUUAAUCUCCCCACUAGCCGUGUUAAUGGAGGGAACAUGGGGGAGCAAGGCCCAAUCUAUGGGGCAAUUGCCCGCCCUUAUCCCCUGUCUAAAUGAUUCUGUUCUGAAAAGCCAGAAACACAUAAGGUAUUUUUGUUAAUUUUGCUGUACCUUUCAUUAUAUCUGUAUUUUAAAGAACAGAAUAAUAUGUGGACGUCGUGAUAAUGAUAUUAAAGUGGU